CCUACGGGAGGCAGCAGUGGGGGAUAUUGCACAAUGGGGGGAACCCUGAUGCAGCGACGCCGCGUGGGUGAAGAAGCGCCUCGGCGCGUAAAGCCCUGUCAGCAGGGAAGAAAAUGACGGUACCUGAAGAAGAAGCCCCGGCUAACUACGUGCCAGCAGCCGCGGGAAUACGUAGGGGGCAAGCGUUAUCCGGAUGUACUGGGUGUAAAGGGGGCGCAGACGGCGAUGCAAGCCAGGAGUGAAAGCCCGGGGCCCAACCCCGGGACUGCUCUUGGAACUGCGUGGCUGGAGUGCAAGAGGGGCAGGCGGAAUUCCUGGUGUAGCGGUGAAAUGCGUAGAUAUCAGGAGGAACACCGGUGGCGAAGGCGGCCUGCUGGACUGCAACUGACGUUGAGGCCCGAAAGCGUGGGGAGCAAACAGGAUUAGAUACCCCAGUAGUC
rnacentral:rRNA from 1 species